GUGAAGCCACACGGCCGCCAUAUUGCCACUCGCAAGAAACACUUCUCGGACAAGCUUUUGCAUUCGUGGUGAACUUCUUUUAUUAAUUCGGAUUGGACACAAAUUUUGCCUUAAGAUGCCUGCAUGUGCAGCUAUUAACUGCACAAAUCGCCAGUUCAAAGGCUGUUUUGACCUGUCUAAGAAGAUUGGAGAGAGAGCUUAUAUUUGCGGAGAGAGAUUGGCUUGGUGCGUUUGAGCAGUGCGGCAAUGUGAUGAUUUGUGUGUGAUCACACCCUCUCUCCAUCGCCAGCAUCUGGCAGCCAACUGGAAACACAUCCAGUCUUCCAAGCGCACCAUUAUACACAUCCCUUCAUUAGGGCACCCCUCAAGAGCCAUUGUGGUUGAGCUUGAGGCAAUUUGACAUCCUGCAGAACCUCCAAAUAGUCAGGCACAGAUAUAAAAGGUAAUGGGAUGUCAUAGCCUAAUUGGAUCAUUUGUUCAUGACAAGGUAGAGGUGAACUGUGUAUGUCUCAUGGUAUCUGAAGGAGGAUAUCUUCCACAUUUACCUCACCUUAAACUGCACAUUAUUUACCAUUUUGUUCAAUUUUUCAAUUUAUUCACAUUUUUAGAAUACAUUUGAGGUGUACAAGUUGACUUCACAAGGCUGUAGUUCGUAAAUCCUCCUCUAGAGGGCAAUAGAGAAGAUGAUAACCAAAUAAUGACUUUGUACAG